rnacentral:rRNA from 1 species
AGUGAACGCUGGCGGUAGGCCUAACACAUGCAAGUCGAACGGCAGCACAGUAAGAGCUUGCUCUUACGGGUGGCGAGUGGCGGACGGGUGAGGAAUACAUCGGAAUCUACUUUUUCGUGGGGGAUAACGUAGGGAAACUUACGCUAAUACCGCAUACGACCUACGGGUGAAAGCAGGGGAUCUUCGGACCUUGCGCGAUUGAAUGAGCCGAUGUCGGAUUAGCUAGUUGGCGGGGUAAAGGCCCACCAAGGCGACGACCCGUAGCUGGUCUGAGAGGAUGAUCAGCCACACUGGAUCUGAGACACGGUCCAGACUCCUACGGGAGGCAGCAGUGGGGAAUAUUGGACAAUGGGCGCAAGCCUGAUCCAGCCAUACCGCGUGGGUGAAGAAGGCCUUCGGGUUGUAAAGCCCUUUUGUUGGGAAAGAAAAGCAGCAGGUUAAUACCCCGCUGUUCUGACGGUACCCAAAGAAUAAGCACCGGCUAACUUCGUG